UACUUAAUCAAGCAUAAGUCAGAAACCUUUGAAGAGUUCAAGGAGUUUAAACAUGAAGUGGAGAAUCAGUUUGGCAGGAACAUUAAGAUGCUUCGAUCCGAUCGAGGUGGUGAGUAUCUUAUCACAGAGUUCCUUGACUAUAUUAAGGAAUGUGGGAUUGUCUCACAAUUGAUACCUCCCAGGACACCGCUGUGGAAUGGUGUGGCUGCGAGGCGUAAUCGGACCUUGUUAGACAUGGUUCGUUCCAUCAUGAGUCAAGCUUCGCUACCAAUCUCAUUCUGGGGGUAUGCCUUAGAGACUGCCGCCUAUAUCCUUAAUCUAGUCCAUACAAAGAAGGUUGCUAAAACUGUUGGAUAAGGUGUCUAAGUCCAUAACUUAUUUGGUAUAUACUUGACCCGACCCGACAUGGUCCAUUUGGGUUGCACUUCACCCGAAUAAUUUAUGGAUAAUUUUAUGAGAGUUAUACACAUAUGUUUAUUAAUAUAUUAUAAGCUAUAAUAUAUUAAUAUGGAGUCAUGUUAUUUAAUUAGUCUUAGUCUUAAAUUAAUUAUGAAUUAAUUUAGAGAUUAAAGGAAGACUAAUUAGAUUAUGGGCUAUUGGUUUUAUAUGGUGUGGGCUAACACUCAUUUGUUAAUGGGCUAGUCUUAUAUGGAAGUCCAUGGAUGAUCCAUGGAGCUUUUAACCCAUGGAUCCUUGGAAAAGGGAAGGUCAUGGGUUAUUAGGGUUUCACCCUAACCAUGUACACUAUAUAAGCAUGCUUAUGUUGCAUGAAAUANUGUGUGGCCGAAAAUACAAGAGUGUGUAUACUCUCUCAAAGUUUUCCAAGAGUUUGUGGUGUUUGUGAUUCCAUUUGAGGCAUUCACACUAUUGGUGCUUGGCCCUCAAACUCCUAAGAACCCAACACAACAAAGGUAUGUAAUCUCUUCUAACUCUUUUAUGUUGAAAUGUUCCCCAUGCCAUGUUAGAUAGGUUAUAAACCUUGGAAAAUUAUUAUUUUGCAUGUAUUUAGACAAACAUAGAUCCAAGGUUUAUUAGGGUUGCAUGCACACUUAGGAAGUGUUAGAUUGCUCAAAACCCAACAGUGGUAUCAGAGCCUAGGCUUGCUUGUUUGAUACUUGAUGCAAAAUAGUGAAAAAAGUCGAAAUCGUUGCUGUCUGCAUGCUAGACUCGCCGAGUCCAUUGGGGGGACUCGCCGAGUCCAAGGCAAACUUCAACCUACUCGACGAGUCCGUUCGUGCACUCGGCGAGUAGGAUCGAAAGAAUGCAGAAUCUCGACUUUUGCUGCUGGAAAUGGACUGGAAACAUUACCCUAAAUUGUUUUGGUGUUGUAAAACUUAUUUUAGUUGGUGUAAUGGUUGUUCUAAUCCAUUUACAAUAGCAUAUAUCAAAAAUCCAUGAUUUUAUGUGUUCAUAUAAUUCUUGAAUUUUUGAUGAUCAUGUUCAUGUUCUUAUGAAUUUAGAAAAUGAUAGGAAUUAUUUGCUGAAUUGUUUAGAAUUAAUUCUUAAUCAUUUAUGUGUUUUAAUGGAGUCCAUAAUUUGUCCUCAAGUUAUGGAUUACCAAAGGUCACUUUCAUUUAACACACACUUAAAACACAUAAGUUACAUGAAAAUGAAGAGUCUUCAUUUUUAUGAACCUUUAAUUCAUAAGUUAUGAAAUGAAGAGUUUUGCAAAGUUACAAAACUUGUCCUCAAGUUUUGGAAUUUGUAAAGUUUCACACACUUUAAUAAACUUUAAUUCCAAACCUUAGAGUUUUAAUAGUUAAAAUUCAACCCUUAUACUAUUUAUAACAUUAAUGGUUAAUUAUUAUAUAUAUGUAUAAGAAUAAGUCGUUUUACCGUUAGUAGGCCUCAUUCACGAAGCCGGUCUAUAAGGUGGGUAUAAGGUUGUUGCCUAUAAAAUGGCGACUUAAUGGGUGUAUACUCUCACCCACCGCUUGCUUGAUCGGUGGAGGGUCGUUAGCCGAACGGGUAGAACAACGACUUUAAAUCCUCAUUAAAAGUAUAAUGAAUAUUAUAAAAUAACUAAACUCUUUUAAUUCCCAAUCUUAGUUAUUUUAGGAAAAUGUGAACAUGGUGCUAAUCCAUGGAAUUCACACUUUGUACCUUACCAAGUCGUUAGUGGAGCGUGUGUGGUUAACCGGCACACUAAUUAGACUAGUAAGGAUCACGAAGGGUAACUUAAUGUUGUCAUAGAUCAAUGGAGCGUGUGUGGUUAACCGGCACAUUGAUUAGGUGAUAAUAUUAGGAGUACCAAGUGAGUUAGCAUGGUUAUUCACACCUUGUUUUGUGAUCCUCGGCAUCCCAGUCACAAAACUUGAAGGGCACAAUCGAGAUUGAAACAUGCCAUUGAAAAGUUCAAUGAAUCUCAAAAGAAUCUAGGAAUUUCAAAUCCAAUUAAACCUAAUUAAUCAUUUCGUUUUCAUGGUGGAAAUUGGUGAAUCGUCAUUCGCCUACCUUUCAAAUAUAUUAUUACUUAGAUUACGGCAUCCCUCUUCUAAGUGUAAUAUAUUGUGAUUGGAUCCUAGCCUUAAUAUUACAUUUGGGUGUCUUAUUAAGGAUCCUAAAUAUCUAAUCUAAACUUACUUUCUUCUUUCAGAUGUCUUCCAACACUAAUGCUUCAGGCUCUAACCCAACUGGUUCUUUCUCUCUCAUGAAUCUUUGUGGGAGGGUCAUCUUUGAUGGUUCCAACUUCAUGGAUUGGAUUAGGAACAUCAGGAUGGUUACUCGUUACGAGGACAAGGAAUAUGUCCUCGAUAAGGAGUUAAAAGAACUUGAUGAGUCUACUGCUACUCCUGAGGAGAUCGCUGAAUUCAGGACUCAUGAGAGAGAUGCUACUAAGGUGGCAUGUAUCAUGAUGGCCACGAUGACAGCCGAGCUCCAAAAGUCAUAUGAAGAUUUCUACCCUUUUGAGAUGCACCAAGACUUGAUGGAAAGGUACCAUCAGAGUGCUCGUCAGGAGCGGUAUGAAAUAAUCUCCUCCAUAAUAACUACCCGCAUGAAGGACGGUGAAUCCGUCACGGGCCACAUGCAAAAGAUGCAAAGGUAUGUGGACCGUUUGCUGAAGCUGAAUGUUAACAUCCCCGAGGAGUUAGCAAUUGACAUCAUUUUGCACUCCUUGCCUUCUUGUUAUGAUCAUUUUCGAAUGACAUAUCAUAUGAACAAGGAGGAAGUUACCCUCAGCAAGCUUCAAGGACUCUUGAAGACCGCUGAAACCGGUCUUAAGGGUAAAGCGGUUGUUACCUCUACUACUCCUACUCCAACUUCUACCCCUGUUUUAGCUAUUGGGCAAGGCAAAGGGAAAAAGAGGAAGCACCCUUCGAAGGGUACCAAGGGAAAGUCUCUUGAAGGCUCCUCAUCCAAGACUAAGAACGGUUCUGUCACUCCUUCUGCCAUUCCAAAGGAUGCUGAAUGCUUUUAUUGCCAUGAAAAGGCACACUGGAAGCGAAACUGCCCUAAGUACUUGCAGGAUCUAAAGGAUGGGAAAGUGAAACCCACCUAUGCAGGUAUUUACACUAUAUUGUCUAAUUACUCAACAUAUUCUAACUCUUGGGUGCUUGAUACAGGAUGUGGUAUUCACAUAUGUUCUGAUUUGCAGGGCCUAAGAAGAAGUGAGGAUGUGGAGCACGGGAAGAUAAACUUAAUCAUGGGGAAUAGGAAGGCUUCACCUGUUUCCAAGAUUGGAGUUUAUACUUUGUUGCUUAAUAAUGGGUUAAAAUUAGAUUUGAAUAAAUGUGUAUACUCGUCUGAAAUGGCGAGGAAUAUUAUUUCUUUUCAUGCUUUGUACAAACAAGGUUUUACCUUUUCGUUUGAUAAUGAAUGUGGUGGUAUUAAUGCUUUCUUUAAUAAUGUGUUUUAUUUUAAAGCAUUACCUUGUGAUGGCGUGUAUGAAACUGUGUCGAUUGUAGACAACUUAGGAAAUAAUGUGUUGUAUAUUGAUUCUUCUACUAGCCUAGAUAAAGCAUCAUUGUGGCAUUGUCGUCUUGGACAUGUAAACAAGAAACGCAUAGACCAACUCCAAAAGAGUGGAGUCUUGGAAUCAUUUGACCUCAAAUCAGAUGAUAGUUGUGAAUCUUGUCUACUUGGAAAAAUGACAAAAUCACCCUUCACUGGAACUUGUGAGAGGGGUGAAGGUUUGUUGGACCUAAUACAUACUGAUGUAUGUGGGCCAUUCAAAACCGCCACAAGGGACGCUAAUCGGUAUUAUGUGACUUUUAUUGAUGAUUAUAGUAGAUAUGGGUAUGUCUACUUGAUCAAACACAAGUCCGAAACCUUUGAAAGGUUUAAGGAAUUCAAACAGGAAGUAGAAAAUCAAUUGGGCAGGAACAUUAAGAUGCUUCGAUCCGAUCGAGGUGGUGAGUAUCUUAGUACCGAGUUCCUUGACUAUCUUAAGGAGUGUGGGAUUGUCUCACAAUUGACUCCUCCCAGGACACCACAGCUGAAUGGUGUAGCUGAGAGGCGUAAUCGAACCUUGUUGGACAUGGUUCGCUCUAUGAUGAGUCGAGUUUCGCUACCAAUCUCUUUUUGGGGGUAUGCCUUAGAGACUGCCGCCCAUAUCCUUAAUCUAGUCCCUACAAAGAAGGUUACCAAAACACCUCAUGAGAUGUGGACUGGGAAGGUUCCCAAUUUAGACCACAUCAAGAUUUGGGGUUGCGAGGCUUUCGUGAGGCGUGUGACUCAUGAAAAGAUCGAACCCCGAAGUGAAAGGUGUAUUUUCAUCGGCUACCCACAGAAAUCUUUUGGUUACCUCUUCUACAGACCCAGUGAGAAUGUGGUCUUUGUAGCAAGAAGAGGGGUCUUCCGUGAGACGGGGUUUAUAAGCCAAGGAGACAGUGGGAGGCAAAUUGAUCUUGAAGAAAUUCAAGAAGCAAUUGGUGAAGGAACCUCAAACACUAGCAAUCAAUCUGAGGAGGAAACUCCUGUUGAGCAAGCUGACAUGUCUGUACCUCCGAGGCGUUCCACACGGGUUAGGAACACACCUUCGUUUUAUUAUGGCUUUCAUAUUACUACGGAAGGUGAUACGUUUAUCAGUGAUAGUACACUGGUAAAUUUGGAUGAACCUAGCAGUGUUAAGGAAGCCAUGGUAGGGCCGGAAUCUGCUAAAUGGAAGGAGGCUAUGGACAGAGAGAUACAGUCCAUGUAUGACAAUCAAGUUUGGAACUUGGUUGACAAUGUACCAGGCCGUAAAACAGUCGGGUGCAAAUGGAUCUUCAAGAAGAAGACCAACAUGGAAGGAAAAGUGCAUACUUAUAAGGCUCGACUGGUUGCGAAGGGUUUUACUCAGACUCAAGGUAUUGAUUAUGAUGAAACUUUCUCGCCAGUAGCAAAGAGUAAGUCUAUUAGGGUUAUGGUAGCCGUUGCAGCAUUUCAUGAUUAUGAAAUAUGGAAAAUGGAUGUCAAAACCGCUUUCCUUAAUGGAAAGUUGGCUGAGGAUGUGUACAUGAAUCAGCCAAAGGGUUUUGUCAGUGCAGAGUACCCUAAUAGAGUAUGCAAGCUUGAGAAAUCCAUUUAUGGAUUAAAACAAGCAUCUCGUAGCUGGAAUCUUUGUUUUGAUGAGAAGGUAAAAGAGUUUGGCUUCUCGAGAAGCGAAGAUGAGUCUUGCGUGUAUGUCAGAGCUAGUGGGAGUAUAGUUAGCUUCUUGGUACUGUAUGUGGAUGACAUACUACUUAUAGGAAAUGACAUCCCAACCUUGCAGGAGGUUAAGUCCUGGCUUGGGAAGUGCUUUGCUAUGAGGAACCUAGGGGAGGCUGCCUAUAUCCUAGGGAUAAGGAUAUUAAGAGAAAGGAGUAGAAGACUAAUUGGACUUAGUCAGAGUAUCUACUUGGAUAAGGUGUUGAAAAGGUUCAACAUGGAGAAUUCCAAGAAAGGAGAUUUACCGAUCCAAAGCAAUACCAAACUGAGUAAGACUCAGAGUCCGAGUACAGAGGCUGAGAUAGCUGAGAUGAGCCAAUUACCAUAUGCUUCCGCAGUUGGCUCGAUCAUGUAUGCUAUGACUUGUACCCGUCCUGAUGUGGCAUUUGCUUUGAGCAUGGUCAGCAGGUAUCAGGGGAACCCUGGCAAGGCUCAUUGGACCGCGGUAAAGAACAUUCUCAAGUACCUGCGGAGGACUAAGGAUUGGGUCCUUACCCUUGGUGGCAGUGAUGACUUGAGAAUAUUAGGGUAUAGUGAUGCUGGUUUUCAGACUGAUAGGGAUAAUUUCCGCUCUCAGUCGGGCUGGAUCUUUACCUUAAAUGGAGGGGCAAUUUCUUGGAAGAGUUCCAAGCAGGAGACGGUGGCUGAUUCGACUUGUGAAUCAGAGUAUAUAGCAGCGAGUGAAGCAGCGAAGGAGGCGAUAUGGCUAAAGAACUUCAUCGGAGACCUUGGAGUUGUACCAGCUAUUAAGGAACCUAUAGAGAUUUUCUGUGACAACAAUGNAUUUCCGCUCUCAGUCGGGCUGGAUCUUUACCUUAAAUGGAGGGGCAAUUUCUUGGAAGAGUUCCAAGCAGGAGACGGUGGCUGAUUCGACUUGUGAAUCAGAGUAUAUAGCAGCGAGUGAAGCAGCGAAGGAGGCGAUAUGGCUAAAGAACUUCAUCGGAGACCUUGGAGUUGUACCAGCUAUUAAGGAACCUAUGGAGAUUUUCUGUGACAACAAUAGUGCGGUUGCCUUAGCCAAGGAACCAAGAGAUCAUGGCAGAUCCCGACACAUUGACAGAAAAUAUCAUUUCAUAAGACACAAGAUUGAAGAAGGACUCCUUGUGGAAAAGAGGGUAUCGUUAGAUGAGAGUCCUGCAGAUCCCCUUACGAAGGGACUGACGAGGGUUAUGUAUUUUCAGCAUGCGAGGCGCAUCGGGCUGAGGGACGAUAUUAGUUUUACAGAUUAGAUUGUUUUCCUGAAACUUGUAAAAUGUAAUCGACAUUUGAUGAUGAAUAAAAUUUGUGAUUUAUUUAUGAGUAAAGUGUUACUAUCAUUGUCAAUUAUUUACUAUUGUUUCAGUUUUGCAUGUUUUGACUUCCAGAAUAAUUAAUUUAUUCAAACCUCCACAAUCGGUCAUACGUCGGAAGUAGGUAUGAAUCAAGAUUGUCAUGAAUUGGGUUUGUAGAUGGCUAAAGGUGUUUAGACAUGGCAAUGGUUGCUGCAACGUUCAUGAGUGCUCAUAAGUUAUGAGUAUUGGUAUAAACCCACGCUCACUUGUAUCAGUUCAUGGAAUUUAUCUCGAGUGAUCAUGAGACGAUAAUAUCAUAUAAGUCUUCAAACCUAGAGAUAUGAGUUGUUACCUAUGAGUUGGUUGUGCAUUGAUUGCACGUAAACGCAUCAGUAACUUGAUGUUAUAAAACGUGCCUUUGUGUACAAUUCAACAAGUAGUAGAACAAGCAUAUGAGUCGAAGUUUAUCUGUUCCUUCUAGAAAUAGAAGCGAUAUCUGGGCCCCUCGAUGAUUUUUUUGUGACCUAUGUACCGGCCGGUCAGAACUAAAUUGAUGUGUUCGAUUAAGUUCUUUGUCAAACAAAUCGAAAAUCGGGAAACAAACUGCUGGACAAUAAGUACGACGUUGUUCCAUGUAUUUGUCCGGCUGAUAUCAUGAGAACAGAGGAUUAUAUGAUCACUUGUCUUAAAAUGGCGCUUCAUAGUUCAACAGAGUUUUCGAGAGCUACGAUUGCUGGUUGGUUCCUGAAGUAACAUACGCAAAUAUAGUUAUUAGACUUAUCCAAGUGGGAGUCUGUUGGAUAAGGUGUCUAAGUCCAUAACUUAUUUGGUAUAUACUUGACCCGACCCGGCAUGGUCCAUUUGGGUUGCACUUCACCCGAACUAUUUAUGGAUAAUUUUAUGAGAGUUAUACACAUAUGUUUAUUAAUAUAUUAUAAGUUAUAAUAUAUUAAUAUGAAGUCAUGUUAUUUAAUUAGUCUUAGUCUUAAAUUAAUUAUGAAUUAAUUUAGAGAUUAAAAGGAAGACUAAUUAGAUUAUGGGCUAUUGGUUUUAUAUGGUGUGGGCUAACACUCAUUUGUUAAUGGGCUAGGCUUAUAUGGAAGUCCAUGGAUGAUCCAUGGAGCUUUUAACCCAUGGAUCCUUGGAAAAGGAAAGGUCAUGGGUUAUUAGGGUUUCACCCUAACCAUGUACACUAUAUAAGCAUGCUUAUGUUGCAUGAAAUAGCCACUAGUGUGUGUGCUUGUGUGUGGCCGAAAAUUACAAGUGUGUGUACACUCUCUAAAGGUUUCCAAGUGUUUGUGGUGAUUUGUGAUUUCCAUUUGAGGCAUUCACACUAUUGGUGCUUGGCUCUCAAACUCCAAGGAAUCAAUCUCAUCAAAAGGUAUGUAAUCUCAUCUAACUCUUUUAUGUUUAAAAGUACCCCAUGCCAUGUUAGAUAGGUUAUGAACCUUGGAAAAUUAUUAUUUUGCAUGUAUUAGACAAACAUAGAUCCAAGGUUUAUUAGGGUUGCAUGCACACUUAGGAAGUGUUAGAUUGCUCAAAACCCAACAAAAACACCUCACGAGAUGUGGACUAAAAAGUUCCCAAUACAGAUCACAUCAAGAUUUAGGGUUGCGAGGCUUUUGUGAGGCGCGAGACUCACGAUAAGCUCGAACCUCAAAGUGAGAGGUGUAUUCUCAUCGGCUACUCACAUAAAUCCUUUGGUUACCUCUUCUACAUACCCAAUGAUAAUGUGGUCUUUGUAGCAAGGAGAGGAGUCUUUUGUGAGAGAGAGUUCAUAAGCCAAGGAAACAGUGGGAGGCAAAUUGAUCCUGAAGAAAUUCAAGAGUCAAGCGGUGAAGGAACUUCAAACUCUNCUCAAACCCUAGAAAUCAAUCUGAGGAGAAAACUCCUGUUGAUCCGACCAAUGAGUUUGUACCUAUGAGGCGUUCCACGAGAGUUAGGAAUGCACCUGAGCAUUACUAUGUUUUCCAUAUGACUAUAGAAGGUGAUACACUUAUCAGCGAUAAUACACUGGUAAGUAUGGAUGAACCUAACAGCUACACAGAAGCCAUGGCAGGCCCUGAUGCUGAUAAAUGGAAAGAGGCUAUGGAAAGCGAGAUUCAAUCCAUGUAUGAUAAUCAAGUUUGGAACUUGGUUGACAAUGUACCUGGUNAAGACCGUCGGGUGCAAAUGGAUCUUCAAGAAGAAGACCGACAUGGAUGGUAAUAUACACACUUAUAAGGCACGAUUGGUUGCAAAGGGCUUUUCUCAAACUGCUGGAGUUGAUUAUCAUGAGACCUUUUCACCAGUAGCGAAGAUUAAGUCUAUCAGGAUUAUGUUAGCCAUUGCUGCAUUUCAUGACCAUGACAUAUGGCAAAUGGAUGUCAAAACCGCUUUCCUUAAUAGAAAGUUGGCUGAGGAUGUUUACAUGAGUCAACCAGAGGGUUUUGUCAGUGCAGAGUACCAUAAUAGAGUGUGUAAGCUUGAGAAAUCCAUCUAUGGAUUAAAACAAGCACCUCGUAGAUGGAAUCUUUGUUUCGAUGAGAAAGUCAAAGAGUUUGGCUUUUCGAGGAGCAAAUAUCAAUCUUGUGUAUAUGUCAAGGCUAGUGGGAGUAUAGUUAUCUUUUUGGUAUUGUAUGUGGAUGACAUACUACUCAUAGGAAAUGACAUCCUAACUCCGCAGGAAGUGAAGUCCUGGCUUGGGAAGUGUUUCUCUAUGAAGGACCUUGGAGAAGCUGCCUAUAUCCUAGGGAUAAUAAUUUUUAGAGACAUGAGUAAAAGACUAAUUGGACCUAGUCAGAGCACCUAUGUGGAUAAAGUGUUGAAAAGGUUCAACAUGCAGAACUCCAAGAAAGGUGAGUUACCAAUCCAGAGUAAUGCCAGAUUGAGUAAGACUCAGAUCUCGAGUACAGAGGUUGAGAUAGCAGAGAUGACUCGAGUUCCGUAUGCUUCCACUGUAGGCUCGAUCAUGUAUGCUAUGACUUGUACUCAUUCGGAUGUGGCCUUUGCAUUAAGCAUGGUCAGUAGAUAUCAAGGGAAUCCUAGCAAGGAUCACUGGACUGUGUUAAAGAACAUUCUCAAGUACCUGCGGAGGACUAAGGACUAGGUCCUUACCCUCGGUGGGAGUGAUGACUUGAGAGUUGUAGGGUAUAGUGAUUCUAGCUUCCAGACUGAUAGGGAUAAUUUCCGCUCUCAUUCAGGCUUGGUCUUUACGUUAAACGGAGGAGCAAUUACUUGGAAAAGUUCCAAGAAAAAGACAGUGGUUGAUUCAACUUGCGAAUCCGAGUACAUAGCGACAAGCGAGGCAGCAAAGGAGGAUAUAUGGCUAAAGAACUUCAUUGGAGACCUUGGAGUUGUACCAGCUAUAAAGGAGCCUAUAGAGAUUUUCUGUGAUAGUGAAAGUGCAGUUGCCCUAACCAAGGAACCAAGGGAUCACGGGAGAUCCAGACACAUCAACAGAAAAUGCCAUUUCAUCAGACAUCGAAUAGAAGAAAGACUCCUCAUGGCAAAGAGGGUAUCAUUGGAUGAGAACCCAGCAAAUCCCUUCACAAAGGUACUGGCUAGGGUUAAGCAUCUCCAGCAUGCGAGGCGCAUAGGGCUGAAGGAUGAUAUUAGUUUUAGUAAUUGUAUAGUUUCUGAAAUGUGUAAAGUGUAAUUGACAUUUGAUGAUGAAUAAAAGUUGUUGUUGAUUUAUGAGUAAAGUGUUGCUAUCUUUUAUCAAUCGUUUAAUAUCGUUUCAUUUUGCAUGUUUUGACUUCCAGAAUAAUUAUGUUAUACCAUUUCAUAUUAUUCAAAUUCUCCACAGUCGAUCAUAUGUUGGAAGUAGAUAUGAAUCAAGAUGAUCAUGAAGUUGGUUGUAGAUAUAUAAGAUGUUGGACAUAGCAAAUUGUUGCUACAACACUCAUGAGUGCUCAUAAGUUCUAAGUAUUGGAUUCAACCUACGCUCGCUUGUAUCACUUCAUGGAAUUUAUCUUGAGUUAUCGUGAGACGGUAAUAUCAGAUAAGUCUUCAAACCUAGAGAUAUGAGUUGUUGCCUAUGAUUUGGUUAUAUAUUGAUUGUACAAAAACACAUUGGUAACUCGAUGUUAUAAAACAUGCCUUUGUGUAUGAUUCAACAAGUAGUAGAACAAGCAUAUGAGUCGAAGUUUAUUUAUUCCUUCUUGAAUUAGAAGCGAUAUCUGGGCCCCUCGAUGAUUUCGUGUUGACCCAUGUACCAGGCCCGAUUAGAACUAAGUUGAAGUGUUCAAUUAAGUUCUAUGUCAAACAAAUCGGAAAUCGAGAAACAAACUGUUGGACAAUAAGUAAGACAUUGUUCCAUGUAUUUGUCCGUCUGAUAUCUAGAACAGAGGACUAUAUGAUCCCUUAUCUAAAAUGGUGCUUCAUAGUUCCACAGAGUUUUAAGAGCUACGAUUGCCGGUCGGUUCCUGAAGUCAUAAUUGCAACUAUAGUUAAUAGACUUAUCCAAGGGAGAGACUGUUGGAUAAGGUGUCUAAGUCCAUAACUAUAUUUGAGAUGUACUUGACCCGACCCGACAUGCUUCACUUGGGUUGCAUUUCACCCGAGCAAUUUAUAUGGAUAAUCUUUUGAGAAUAGUAUAAGUUAUGAUUUAUUAAUAUAUUAUAAGUUCUAAUAUAUUAAUAAGAAAUCAUAUUAUUUAAUUAGUAUUGAUCUAAAAUUAAUUUAGAAUAAAUUUAGUGAACAAAAGUGUGACUAAUUAAAUAUGGACUCUUGUAUUUAUAUAAUGUGGGCUUAAUGCUUAUUUAGAAUGGGCUAGGCUUGCAUGGUAAGUCCAUGGAUAGUCCAUGGAGCUUUAACCCAUGGAUCUCAUGGAAAUGAAAGGUCAUGGGUAUUAGGGUUUACAUGGAUGUAACCCUAAUCCACAACAUUAUAUAAAGGAGUCCUUGGCACUUGAAAUGGCACUAGUUUUUGUGUGAGAACAAGGGUGGGCUGAUUUCAAGAAGAGUUCUACUAUUAUCUCAAGUUUCCAAGGUUUUGUGGUGAUUUGUGAAUUCCAUUUGAGGCAUCCACAUGAUUGGUGUAAGGCUCUCAAACUCCAAGCAAUCAACCACUACUAAAAGGUAUGUAACUCUACUAGUUUAUUAUGUUUCAAAGUUCCCCAUGCCAUGCUCGUUAGGUUAAGAACCUUGGAAAAGAAAAUUUACAUGUAUCAUAGUAAAACAUAGAUCCAAGGUUUCUAGGGUUGCAUGUGCACCAUAGGAGUGUUAGAAUGCUCAAAACCCUUCACCUUAAGUUUCAAUUAGAGUUUUUUGAGAAUAAGGACAGAUGAAACCUGAUCAUCUGCAAGUUUUUCCUUAAGCUUCAUAAGCUUUUCAAGCAUAGAAUUUGUUGAGGAUAAAUCUCAACUUAGAAAAGAAAUUAGGAUGGUUGUUGACUUCUAAAGAUAAGAUUCUUCAUUCACGAGGAUCUAUAGCGAUAAGGAUCCUUAAUGAUGAGAAUCCUUAGUGAUGAUAUCAUACGGGGGAAUUCCCUUCUUAGGAGAAUCUAUUUAGGUUAUAGACUUUGACAAUAUUCUUUGGUAAUAUCCUAAAUGCAACAUGUUAAUGUUAUAUACUGGGGAGGAUCCCAAUUUGUGACGUAUCUCAAGGGAAAUAUCCAUACUUAUGAAAAUGUUAUGAUUCAUGUCAAUGUGUGACAACAUGAAGAUGUCAUAACCUUAUGUAAUUUCUGGGGUAAUAUCCCAACUUUUGAUAACAUGAAAAUGUCAUAAGCCUUAAGUAAUCAUCAGGGUAGGAUCCCAAUUUUUGGAUAACAUGAAAAUGUUAUAAACGUUAAGGAUCUUAACUUAUGUUGAAAGAUAAGAGGGUUGCCAAGCCACUACAUCAUGAAAUGAUCUCCUUAAUGGUAUCCCAUAGAUAGAUAUCAUGCGUUCAAGUGAGGCGUAUAAACCUUAGUUCGCAUGAAAGAGGUGAUUAACUCCUUAAACCUUAGAGGGGAUUAAGUACCCUUAAGCAUAUGAUAGAUUAUCAAUCUCUAGCUUGUGUAUAUAAUCGUUUAAAGAUCAUACCGUUGAUAUAAUGGAAUUGUUCAAGUCUUAGUAUGUUGAGAUCUUUGUUUGUUAAGAUCCUUAUGUUUCAAGAUCUUCAACCUCGAGGAAUCUUUAUGUUUCGGGAUCUUGGAGAUCCUUAUGUUUCAAGAUCUUCAACCCUGAGGAUCCUCGUGUUCCAGGAUCUUCAACCUUGAGGAUCCUCAUGUUUGAGGAUCAUUUCUUAAGGAGAUCCUUAGUUGUAUGUUGUUCUGCAUAGCAAACAUUAGCUAGGGGUGGUCAUUAGUCUAGCUAACACCCCUACGAUGCUUAAGUUAGUAAUGUAUUCGAGGAGAAAAUAAGCAAUGAUGAAAAGUUUAAGGUAAAGAACAUGUGCACCUUGGUUUUAUUAAAGAUCAAUCAACCAAAUUUGUAUAUAGUAUGCUUUGAGAUGUAUAACAUUCCAGGUCUUGGAAAAAUGUUUCCUUUGUGUGUUGCUAGCCAAUAUGAUCCUUUUUCCUGCUUUAGCAUCUAUGAGAUACGGUCCUUCCCACUUAGGAGCUAAUUUACCAACACUAGGAUCCUUGGUGUUUUGGAAUGUUUUCCUUAAUACAAAGUCUCCUAUUUGGAAUCUUAUGACUUUUACGCUCUUGUUGUAAGCCUUGGUGAUCCUUUGUUGAUGAAGAGCAAUGCUUAUCUUGGCAAGAUCUUUGAGUUCAUCAAAAGUUUCAAGAUCCUAGGCUAGGAUCCUGUCAUUGUUUUUAUUUUUAUUUUGGAGCAAGUAUCUUGUCUUCGGGAUCACUACUUCGGUAGGGAUCAUUGCUUUUGUCUCGAACACCAAGGAAUAAGGGGUCUGACCUGUUUCUAUUUUGGAAAUGGUCCUAUCUGCCCACAGGACGAAAGGAAGCUCUUCUGCCCAUCUUCCUUUCUUCUUAUCAAGCCUUUUCUUAAAAUUGUUUACUGUGAUCUUAUUUCUAUAUUCUACUUGACCAUUAGCUUGGGGAUGGACAGGAGUGGACAUUAUCAUUCUGAUUCCCUAACUCGUGCAAAACUCUCUUAUUCUUUUGCUUAUGAAUUAGGAUCCAUUGUCGCAUAUGAUUUCAACCGGGAUGUCGAACCUAGUCAAGAUAUUACGUUUAAUAAACGAGGCUACCUCUUUAUCUCUUACCUAAACGAAGGCUUCAACUUCGAUCCACUUGGAAAAGUAAUCAGUCAUCACCAACAUGAAGAGUUUUCCUCCUGGAGCCAUUGGUAAAUUUCCCACUAUAUCCAUUCCCCAUUUCAUGAAUGGCCAUGGAGAGAUAAUAGGAUAUAGAGGCUUUGCCGGUUGAUACAAGAUGUUGCUAUGUCUUUGGCAAGCAUCACACUUUUAAGCAUGUACAAAAGAAUCUCUCUUCAUGGUUGGCCAGUAGUAUCCUAAUCUCAAUGCCUUGGAGCAUAAGGAUUUCCCCCAGUGUGAUUGCCAUAGUCUCAUUCAUGUAUGUCCUUCAAGACUUCUGCAGCUUCAGAAUCUACCAGGCAUGUGAAAUAUGGACCUGCCAUAGAUUGUUUUUAUGGAAAUUACCUUGGAUUAUUACGAAUCUUGAGACUCUUUUUUUGAAUGCUCUUUCGCUUUUUUCCUCUGUUGGGAUUGUACCAUUUUAAAGAUAUUCCAUAUUGGGUUGGAGUCAUAAUCGAGGACUUCUUUGAGGAUCCUAUUCGUCGGGAUCACUUCGAGGAGGGAUUUGAGGAUCAGGAUCUUCGAUGGCUGCUACGCUUAUUGGUUGUUCAAGAUUAUCAGAUUUUUCGGAAAAGGCUUCUAUAGCUGGAGUUAUUAUGUGGGUUAUAGGGAUCUUCGUUUCUGGUGGGAUUCGUAGGGAGGAUCCUAAGUUGGCUAAUGUGUCUGCUUCUGUUUUUUCUUCUCAGGGAACUUCGGUUAGGUUAAAUGUUGGGAAUUAGAGUUGCGUCAUUGUGUUAUAUUUAAUAGUCUAUUUAUGUAAACGGGCUUGGGCUUUUCCACCUGUCUUUAUUUAAUAGGGUUAUAGUAUUCAAGGUGCAUACAUGCACCAUGCUUUCUGUAAUCUAGGAAAUAGUCUUGUAACCCUACACGCCUCUACAGUAACAAUUCUUCAUCGAGUUCUUUUGAGGCAUGACUUUGAAUCAUUAAGCACAUUUUGAUCCAUUCUUGUGUUCCUAUUUUCUUUUACCUGUUUAAAUCUUUCAAUCUUUAAAGAUUUAAUCUCAACAAUUGGUAUCAGAGUAGGAGACUAUUUAAUCUAUACACAUCUCUUCUGUUGAAAGAAGCUCUUUAGGGUUUCCGCUAUUAUUGGAUCUGGUUUCAGCUGUUAUCAUUGUUUGUUCAUCUGUUGAUGAUGAUUUUGAUCUUAAUAUUACCCUAAUAUUGUUUACACAUUUGAUUCAUACAGGUUUUGAUCCAUAUACAAACUGUUGAGAGUUAUACACAUAUGUUUACACAUUGCAUUUCACCCGAACAAUUUAUGGAUAAUUUAUGAGAGUUAUACACAUAUGUUUAUUAAUAUAUUAUAAGUUAUAAUAUAUUAAUAUGAGGUUAUGUUAUUUAAUUAGUCUUAGUCUUAAAUUAAUGAUGAAUUAAUUUAGAGAUUAAAAGGAAGACUAAUUAGAUUAUGGGCUAUUGGUUUUAUAUGGUGUGGGCUAACACUCAUUUGUUAAUGGGCUAGGCUUGGAGGGAAGUCCAUGGAUGAUCCAUGGAGCUUUUAACCCAUGGAUCCUUGGAAAAGGAAAGGUCAUGGGUUAUUAGGGUUUCACCCUAACCAUGUACACUAUAUAAGCAUGCUUAUGAUGCAUGAAAUGGCAACUAGUGAACUAGUGUGUGUGCUUGUGUGUGGCCGAAAAUAUAAGUGUGUGUACACUGUCUCAAAGUUUUCCAAGAGUUUGUGGUGAUUUGUGAUUCCAUUUGAGGCAUUCACACUAUUGGUGCUUGGCCUUCAAACUCCUUAAGAAUCAAACUCAUCAAAAAGGUAUGUAAUCUCUUCUAACUCUUUUAUGUUGAAAUGUUCCCCAUGCCAUGUUAGAUAGGUUAUGAACCUUGGAAAAUUAUUAUUUUGCAUGUAUUUAGACAAACAUAGAUCCAAGGUUUAUUAGGGUUGCAUGCACACUUAGGAAGUGUUAGAUUGCUCAAAACCCAACAGUGGUAUCAGAGCCUAGGCUUGCUUGUUUGAUACUUGAUGCAAAAUAGUGGAAAAAGUCGAAAACGUUGCUGUCUGCAUGCUAGACUCGCCGAGUCCAUUGGGGGGACUCGCCGAGUCCAAGGCAAACUUCAACCUACUCGACGAGUCCGUUCGUGCACUCGGCGAGUAGGAUCGAAAGAAUGCAGAAUCUCGACUUUUGCUGCUGGAAAUGGACUGGAAACAUUACCCUAAAUUGUUUUGGUGUUGUAAAACUUAUUUUAGUUGGUGUAAUGGUUGUUCUAAUCCAUUUACAAUAGCAUAUAUCAAAAAUCCAUGAUUUUAUGUGUUCAUAUAAUUCUUGAAUUUUUGAUGAUCAUGUUCAUGUUCUUAUGAAUUUAGAAAAUGAUAGGAAUUAUUUGCUGAAUUGUUUAGAAUUAAUUCUUAAUCAUUUAUGUGUUUUAAUGGAGUCCAUAAUUUGUCCUCAAGUUAUGGAUUACCAAAGGUCACUUUCAUUUAACACACACUUAAAACACAUAAGUUACAUGAAAAUGAAGAGUCUUCAUUUUUAUGAACCUUUAAUUCAUAAGUUAUGAAAUGAAGAGUUUUGCAAAGUUACAAAACUUGUCCUCAAGUUUUGGAAUUUGUAAAGUUUCACACACUUUAAUAAACUUUAAUUCCAAACCUUAGAGUUUUAAUAGUUAAAAUUCAACCCUUAUACUAUUUAUAACAUUAAUGGUUAAUUAUUAUAUAUAUGUAUAAGAAUAAGUCGUUUUACCGUUAGUAGGCCUCAUUCACGAAGCCGGUCUAUAAGGUGGGUAUAAGGUUGUUGCCUAUAAAAUGGCGACUUAAUGGGUGUAUACUCUCACCCACCGCUUGCUUGAUCGGUGGAGGGUCGUUAGCCGAACGGGUAGAACAACGACUUUAAAUCCUCAUUAAAAGUAUAAUGAAUAUUAUAAAAUAACUAAACUCUUUUAAUUCCCAAUCUUAGUUAUUUUAGGAAAAUGUGAACAUGGUGCUAAUCCAUGGAAUUCACACUUUGUACCUUACCAAGUCGUUAGUGGAGCGUGUGUGGUUAACCGGCACACUAAUUAGACUAGUAAGGAUCACGAAGGGUAACUUAAUGUUGUCAUAGAUCAAUGGAGCGUGUGUGGUUAACCGGCACAUUGAUUAGGUGAUAAUAUUAGGAGUACCAAGUGAGUUAGCAUGGUUAUUCACACCUUGUUUUGUGAUCCUCGGCAUCCCAGUCACAAAACUUGAAGGGCACAAUCGAGAUUGAAACAUGCCAUUGAAAAGUUCAAUGAAUCUCAAAAGAAUCUAGGAAUUUCAAAUCCAAUUAAACCUAAUUAAUCAUUUCGUUUUCAUGGUGGAAAUUGGUGAAUCGUCAUUCGCCUACCUUUCAAAUAUAUUAUUACUUAGAUUACGGCAUCCCUCUUCUAAGUGUAAUAUAUUGUGAUUGGAUCCUAGCCUUAAUAUUACAUUUGGGUGUCUUAUUAAGGAUCCUAAAUAUCUAAUCUAAACUUACUUUCUUCUUUCAGAUGUCUUCCAACACUAAUGCUUCAGGCUCUAACCCAACUGGUUCUUUCUCUCUCAUGAAUCUUUGUGGGAGGGUCAUCUUUGAUGGUUCCAACUUCAUGGAUUGGAUUAGGAACAUCAGGAUGGUUACUCGUUACGAGGACAAGGAAUAUGUCCUCGAUAAGGAGUUAAAAGAACUUGAUGAGUCUACUGCUACUCCUGAGGAGAUCGCUGAAUUCAGGACUCAUGAGAGAGAUGCUACUAAGGUGGCAUGUAUCAUGAUGGCCACGAUGACAGCCGAGCUCCAAAAGUCAUAUGAAGAUUUCUACCCUUUUGAGAUGCACCAAGACUUGAUGGAAAGGUACCAUCAGAGUGCUCGUCAGGAGCGGUAUGAAAUAAUCUCCUCCAUAAUAACUACCCGCAUGAAGGACGGUGAAUCCGUCACGGGCCACAUGCAAAAGAUGCAAAGGUAUGUGGACCGUUUGCUGAAGCUGAAUGUUAACAUCCCCGAGGAGUUAGCAAUUGACAUCAUUUUGCACUCCUUGCCUUCUUGUUAUGAUCAUUUUCGAAUGACAUAUCAUAUGAACAAGGAGGAAGUUACCCUCAGCAAGCUUCAAGNUUGAUGAAGCUAAAUGUGAACAUCCCUGAGGAGUUGGCAAUUGACAUCAUUUUGCACUCCUUACCUUCUUGUUAUGACCAAUUUCGUAUGACAUUUCAUAUGAAUAAGGAGGAAGUUACCUUCAACAAGCUUCAAGGACUCUUGAAGACCGCGGAAACCGGUCUUAAGGGCAAGGCAGUUGUUACCUCUACUACUCCUACUCCAACAUCUACCCCUGUUUUGGCUAUCGGGCAAGGCAAAGGGAAAAAGAGGAAGCACCCUUCGAAGGGUACCAAGGGAAAGUCUCUUGAAGGCUCCUCAUCCAAGACUAAGAACGGUUCUGUCACUCCUUCUGCCAUUCCAAAGGAUGCUGAAUGCUUUUAUUGCCAUGAAAAGGCACACUGGAAGCGAAACUGCCCUAAGUACUUGCAGGAUCUAAAGGAUGGGAAAGUGAAACCCACCUAUGCAGGUAUUUACACUAUAUUGUCUAAUUACUCAACAUAUUCUAACUCUUGGGUGCUUGAUACAGGAUGUGGUAUUCACAUAUGUUCUGAUUUGCAGGGCCUAAGAAGAAGUGAGGAUGUGGAGCACGGGAAGAUAAACUUAAUCAUGGGGAAUAGGAAGGCUUCACCUGUUUCCAAGAUUGGAGUUUAUACUUUGUUGCUUAAUAAUGGGUUAAAAUUAGAUUUGAAUAAAUGUGUAUACUCGUCUGAAAUGGCGAGGAAUAUUAUUUCUUUUCAUGCUUUGUACAAACAAGGUUUUACCUUUUCGUUUGAUAAUGAAUGUGGUGGUAUUAAUGCUUUCUUUAAUAAUGUGUUUUAUUUUAAAGCAUUACCUUGUGAUGGCGUGUAUGAAACUGUGUCGAUUGUAGACAACUUAGGAAAUAAUGUGUUGUAUAUUGAUUCUUCUACUAGCCUAGAUAAAGCAUCAUUGUGGCAUUGUCGUCUUGGACAUGUAAACAAGAAACGCAUAGACCAACUCCAAAAGAGUGGAGUCUUGGAAUCAUUUGACCUCAAAUCAGAUGAUAGUUGUGAAUCUUGUCUACUUGGAAAAAUGACAAAAUCACCCUUCACUGGAACUUGUGAGAGGGGUGAAGGUUUGUUGGACCUAAUACAUACUGAUGUAUGUGGGCCAUUCAAAACCGCCACAAGGGACGCUAAUCGGUAUUAUGUGACUUUUAUUGAUGAUUAUAGUAGAUAUGGGUAUGUCUACUUGAUCAAACACAAGUCCGAAACCUUUGAAAGGUUUAAGGAAUUCAAACAGGAAGUAGAAAAUCAAUUGGGCAGGAACAUUAAGAUGCUUCGAUCCGAUCGAGGUGGUGAGUAUCUUAGUACCGAGUUCCUUGACUAUCUUAAGGAGUGUGGGAUUGUCUCACAAUUGACUCCUCCCAGGACACCACAGCUGAAUGGUGUAGCUGAGAGGCGUAAUCGUACCUUGUUGGACAUGGUUCGCUCUAUGAUGAGUCGAGUUUCGUUACCAAUCUCUUUUUGGGGGUAUGCCUUAGAGACUGCCGCCCAUAUCCUUAAUCUAGUCCCUACAAAGAAGGUUACCAAAACACCUCAUGAGAUGUGGACUGGGAAGGUUCCCAAUUUGGAC
rnacentral:lncRNA from 1 species